UCUCCGUUGGUGAACCAGCGGAGGGAUCAUUACCGAGUUUACAACUCCCAAACCCAAUGUGAACGUUACCAAACUGUCGCCUCGGCGGGGUCACGCCCCGGGUGCGUCGCAGCCCCGGAACCAGGCGCCCGCCGGAGGAACCAACCAAACUCUUUCUGUAGUCCCCUCGCGGACGUUAUUUCUUACAGCUCUGAGCAAAAAUUCAAAAUGAAUCAAAACUUUCAACAACGGAUCUCUUGGUUCUG
rnacentral:misc_RNA from 1 species